rnacentral:tRNA from 1 species
AGAAGCUUAGGUUCACUUAAACCGGAGGCCUUCAAAGCCUUAAACAAGAGUUAAACCCUCUUAGCUUCUG